GUGCCAGCCGCCGCGGUAAGACGGAGGUGGCAAACGUUGCUCGGAAUUACUGGGCUUAAAGGGCGUGUAGGCGGUCGCUUAAGUCGGGUGUGAAAAACCUCGGCCCAACCGAGGAAUUGCACUCGAUACUGAGCGGCUAGAGUGCGAGAGGGGCAAGUGGAACUCCAGGUGUAGCGGUGAAAUGCGUAGAUAUCUGGAGGAACGCCGGUGGCGAAAGCGACUUGCUGGCUCGUAACUGACGCUGAGGCGCGAAAGCCAGGGGAGCAAACGGGAUUAGAUACCCCCGUAGUCC
rnacentral:rRNA from 1 species